GUAAGUUACUUCUCUCUCUCUAACUACUGUCCACACACACCUCUAGUCUCAACAGUAAAUUCUACAAGAAUCUCACCCCUCUUUCGCUAACUUCCCUCUUCACAAAUAAUAUACAUUUCAGUUGUACAGUCUGCUUCACAAAUAGUCCCCUAUUCCCUGUGUAGUGCCCUAUGUGGCCUGGUCUAAAGUAGUGCACUAUAGAGGAAAAAGGGUGUAAUUUGGGAUGCACACACAGUUACAACACACCUCCAGCCAGAUCUUUUGGUCUUUCGGGCCCCAGCCUGCAAUCAAACGGCAGCCACGCCAAAUGCUUUUUCCGGAGGCCAGGAUUUUUUUCAGCUCCUGUAGCUCUGAUAAAAGCCCUGCCACACUCAAACCCCCUAUAGACUUCUCACACACACACACACACACACACACACACACACACACACACAACCCCCUAUAGGCUUCUCACACACACACACACACACACACACACAACCCCCUAUAGGCUUCUCACACACACACACACACACACACACACACACACACACACACACACACACACACCCCCGAAGGCCAGUGAAAACAUCAAAGCGUUUCUACUGUAAGUCAGCAACACCUUUAAACUGCAGGCGCUGUAAAACAGAGGUGGAAAGAGGUGGAGACUUAGAGAGGAGGGAGGAGAGGUGGAGGAGAGAGGAGGUAGAGAGAGGAUGAGGAGAGAGGAGGUAGAGAGAGGAUGAGGAGGUGGAGAGAGGAUGAGGAGGUGGAGAGAGGUAAAGAGAGGAGAGAGGAGGUGGAGAGAGGAUGUUGAGAGAUGAGGGGAAAAGAGGUAAACAGAAGAGGUGGAGAAAGGUGAAGAGAGGAGGUGGAGAGAGGUGGUGAGCCUUGGCUAGCACAUUAUUGCAGAUGUGCCUCAUGCUUUGUUGAGAAGAGCCAAUUCCCCUUAAUGUGAGCGGUAAAAAGGCUCUGGUUCGCCCUCUCAAAGCGAAGUAUGCUUUUAAAGUAACACUGUGAACGUGACAGCUCAACUCAGCAAAAAUAACUGUUUGAAACAACUUUGCUACAAACUAACUAGAGCACUGUGGAAUCAAAAUCAAUUCAAUUGAACUGUAGCAGGGACUGUUUUCACUGAAGUUGGCCUACCAAUUAAAUUGAAUGAAAAGUACUACAAUAGCCAUUUCAACUACAAACUGAAUUCAUCUGAAAAAUAUAUCAACAGCCAUUUUGAACUAAAAUACAAACAUACAUCUAAAUACCACAGCGGGACCUAUUUCAACUGAAGUACAAACUAAAUAUGACUGAAAAGAAUAGCAAGCAGGAGCCUUUUUGAUUGAAGUACAAUCAGACAUCAAGUCAAGGGGAUAUCUGAUCAAAUAGGAUCUCCAACAUAAUGAACUGACAAACGUACCAU
rnacentral:lncRNA from 1 species